rnacentral:rRNA from 1 species
UACAGAGGGUGCAAGCGUUGCUCGGAAUCAUUGGGCGUAAAGGGUAGGUAGGUGGUCUCAUUUGUCUGGGGUGAAAGCCCAGGGCUUAACCCUGGAAGUGCCCCGGAAACGGUGAGGCUGGAGUCUUGGAGAGGGUCGUGGAAUUCCCGGUGUAGCGGUGAAAUGCGUAGAGAUCGGGAGGAACACCAGAGGCGAAGGCGGCGACCUGGACAAGUACUGACACUCAACUACGAAAGCGUGGGGAGCAAACAGG